UAGGGAAUCUUCGGCAAUGGGGGCAACCCUGACCGAGCAACGCCGCGUGAGUGAAGAAGGUUUUCGGAUCGUAAAGCUCUGUUGUAAGAGAAGAACGUGUGUGAGAGUGGAAAGUUCACACAGUGACGGUAACUUACCAGAAAGGGACGGCUAACUACGUGCCAGCAGCCGCGGUAAUACGUAGGGCCCGAGCGGUGUCCGGAUUUAUUGGGCGUAAAGCGAGCGCAGGCGGUUUAAUAAGUCUGAAGUUAAAGGCAGUGGCUUAACCAUUGUUAGCUUUGGAAACUGUUAAACUGGAGUGCAGAAGGGGAGAGUGGAAUUCCAUGUGUAGCGGUGAAAUGCGUAGAUAUAUGGAGGAACACCGGUGGCGAAAGCGGCUCUCUGGUCUGUAACUGACGCUGAGGCUCGAAAGCGUGGGGAGCAAACAGG
rnacentral:rRNA from 1 species